AGAAUACAAGAAAGGUGAAAACCAGACAAAUGCUGAGUUGGUCAAAGAAGAAGAUUGGGGAAUCCUUCUGAAAAUGGAAGAAGAAUACAUUGAGAAUAUCUGUGCACAGAUAAUCAAAUUCAAACCUGACCUGGUUAUCACAGAGAAGGGCCUCAGUGAUUUGGCUUGCCAUUAUCUAAGUAAAGCUGGUAUUAGUGCAAUU
rnacentral:misc_RNA from 1 species